UACGAAGGGGGCUAGCGUUGCUCGGAAUCACUGGGCGUAAAGCGCACGUAGGCGGACUCUUAAGUCGGUGGUGAAAUCCUGGAGCUCAACUCCAGAACUGCCUUCGAUACUGAGAGUCUUGAGUCCGGGAGAGGUGAGUGGAACUGCGAGUGUAGAGGUGAAAAUUCGUAGAUAUUCGCAAGAACACCAGUGGCGAAAGGCGGCUCACUGGCCCGGUACUGACGCUGAGGUGCGAAAAGCGUGGGGGGCAAACAGGGGAUUAAGAAAACCCUAGUAAGUCCA
rnacentral:rRNA from 1 species